rnacentral:rRNA from 1 species
UACGUAGGGGGCAAGCGUUGUCCGGAUUUAUUGGGCGUAAAGAGCGUGUAGGCGGCCAGACAGGUCCGUUGUGAAAACUCGAGGCUCAACCUCGAGACGCCGAUGGAAACCGUCUGGCUAGAGUCCGGAAGAGGAGAGUGGAAUUCCUGGUGUAGCGGUGAAAUGCGCAGAUAUCAGGAAGAACACCCGUGGCGAAGGCGGCUCUCUGGGACGUGACUGACGCUGAGACGCGAAAGCGUGGGGAGCGAACAGG